AAACMUGUCYUUUUGRUUAUAAUUUAAAGUYUGACCUGCCCUAUGAAUAAUUUGUUUUUAAAUGGCUGCGGUAUCUUGACCGUGCMAAGGKAGCAUAAUAAUUAGUUUUUUAAUUGGGAACUGGUAUGAAAGGUCGAACGAGAAAAAGACUGUCUCAAUUUAAUUUAAAUUAGAAUUUUAUUUUUAAGUAAAAAAGCUUAAAUAAUCUUAAAAGACGAGAAGACCCUAUAGAGUUUUAUAUAAUUUGGUAUUUUUGAAAGUUAAAGAAUUUUAGAUUUAAUCAUAUUAAAUUGUAUUUGGUUGGGGCAAUUAAAAAAUUAAAUAAAUUUUUUUUAGAUAAUAACAUUAAUAUAUGAUUAAGUGAUCCAUAUUUUAUGAUUAAAAGAUUAAAUUACCUUAGGGAUAACAGCGUAANUUUUUUUUAGAGUUCUUAUCGAAAAAAAAGUUUGCGACCUCGAUGUUGGAUUAAAAUUUACUUUUGGCGCAGUAMCUAAAAGGAUUGGGUCUGUUCGACMWUUAAAAUUUUACAKGA
rnacentral:rRNA from 1 species